CUACGUGCCAGCAGCCGCGGUAAUACGUAGGGUGCGAGCGUUGUCCGGAAUUACUGGGCGUAAAGAGCUCGUAGGUGGUUUGUUGCGUCGUCUGUGAAAUUCCGGGGCUUAACUUCGGGGUGGCAGGCGAUACGGGCAUAACUAGAGUGCUGUAGGGGAGACUGGAAUUCCUGGUGUAGCGGUGGAAUGCGCAGAUAUCAGGAGGAACACCGAUGGCGAAGGCAGGUCUCUGGGCAGUAACUGACGCUGAGAAGCGAAAGCAUGGGGAGCGAACAGGAUUAGAUACCCUGGUAGUCCAUGCCGUAAACGUUGGGCACUAGGUGUGGGGGACAUUCCACGUUUUCCGCGCCGUAGCUAACGCAUUAAGUGCCCCGCCUGGGGAGUACGGCCGCAAGGCUAAAACUCAAAGAAAUUGACGGGGGCCCGCACAAGCGGCGGAGCAUGCGGAUUAAUUCGAUGCAACGCGAAGAACCUUACCAAGGCU
rnacentral:rRNA from 1 species